UUAUUUUUAUCAUCACAAGAUGACAUCGCAAUUAUAUAUCUGUGGUUAAACAUAAAUAAAUCAAAACUUACCUCAGCGAAAAAAUUAAUGAAACUGAUUAUAAACGAAGACAAGAAACGUUUUUGUAAAAAAUUUUGAAAUAUAUUAAUCAAAUAUCCGUUAACGUUCAAAAUGCAACAAAAUAUCAAUCAAUAAAUCCUGAUUAACUCGGAAUUCAAGCAAUGUUGAAGAAGCCUGAAAAGUUUUUCAAUAUAUAACAAAUAUCAAUCAUUAUAAUAUUUCAUCUAAUUAUUUUUUUUCAUCACAAUGACGAAUUCUAAGGAGGGAAAGUCAAGCAAUUCGCGAUGAUCACUAAAAAAUAAUUCACCGGACGAUCCUCCUUUCUAUCGUCACGGACUUUCAAUCACCAUGAAGUUCAAAAUGUACGAGAAAAAGAAUUGUUCUUCGCGAUAUAAACGGUGAAUCACAUUAACAUUUUCACCAUGCUGAACGUAAUGGCGGCUAUGUCGACGAAAUUACCUCAAAUAGAAUCUACGUCUUCGUCGAUCCUUGUCAACAAUUCCAUCGUCGCCAUUAGUUCAACGACAACCACAUCGGUCGCGAACGUGACGACAGAAAAUCCGACGGUGGAGAACCUUCCCGAGAAUGUGAACGUGCCGUUGAUGGUGAUCAAAGGUGUCAUCAUGGGCGCCAUCAUCAUCACUGCGGUUCUCGGCAAUAUGCUGGUGAUCGCCAGCGUUCGGAGACAUCGCAGACUCCGUGUGGUCACCAAUUGUUAUGUCGUCAGUCUGGCGGCGGCCGACCUGCUGGUAGCGAUGUGCGCCAUGACCUUCAAUGCCUCGGUGGAACUCUCGGGUGGCAAAUGGCUGUUCGGGGCAGUUAUGUGCGAUUUAUGGAACUCGCUGGACGUGUACUUUAGCACCGCUAGCAUCCUUCAUCUCUGUUGCAUCAGCGUGGACAGAUAUUAUGCAAUAGUGAGUCCGCUCGAGUACACAGUGAUCAUGAAACAGAGUACUGUCGGGUGCAUGUUGGGUAGUGCUUGGGUCUUACCGGCACUGAUAAGCUUUAUUCCGAUCUUCAUGGGAUGGUACACGACCAAGGAACAUCUGGAUUACAUGGUGAAACACCCGGGGAGCUGCGAGUUUCGAGUGAAUUUACCAUAUGCGGUGAUCAGUUCCUGCGUGUCUUUUUGGAUCCCGGGUCUAGUAAUGAUCAUCAUGUACUGGAAGAUUUACAAGGAGGCGAUCCGACAACGGAAAGCUCUCAGUCGAACGUCCAGCAACAUCGUGCUCAACAGCGUGCACCAUCAUCGCUCGUCCACCCGGCAUCAUCACCAUCAGCAGAUGUUGCUGCAAGCCGCCGCCGAUACCGGUGAGCUAGCCCUUCACACGGCACACUUCACGGUGCCCACGGAGCUCCACGCCGUUAACGAUUUGCAUGUUCGUGGUGAAUCGUCCGUACGCGGUGAUCAGUUCCUGCGUGUCCUUCUGGAUCCCCGGUAUCGUGAUGAUCAUCAUGUACUGCAAGAUCUACAAGGAGGCGAUCAGGCAGAGAGCGGCCCUCAGUAGGGCGUCCAGCAGCACGAUAUUGAACAGCGUAAACGCGCGCCGUUCCUCUAGCGGCUCCAGACAUCACUCCAGGACGUCGCAUCAGUUGCUGUUGCAUCCAAGCGAUGCUAGCGAUUACGGAAGACCGCUCUCUUAUAGAGCAUCGGCGGCGGAGCUCAACGUCGAAAAUGGUACUUCGAUACGACAGCAAACAAGAAGUUGGCGGGCCGAACACAAAGCUGCAAGAACACUCGGUAUAAUUAUGGGGGCGUUUCU
rnacentral:misc_RNA from 1 species